UACCUUACCCCAAAAAGAUAAGAGAUAAGGUAGAAUGGUGGGUUGUCAUAAAGAUCAAACCAAGGGGUACAAUGGAUGAUCGAUAUACAUUGGAGGUUGCUUAUCAAGAUAAUGCAAUGUCCCAUAUUAAUACUAUAAUGAAUGAUGACCCACUUGAAAAUUUAAGAGACAUUGAAGAUGGUUUUGAGGAAGUUGAAGGAUAUGAUGAAGCGAACAUGGACAU
rnacentral:lncRNA from 1 species